UUUUGUUUCCAUUUCCUUGACCACAGAUAUCCAGGUACUGCAACAGAGACUUUGAUGAUGAGAAGAUCCUUAUCCAGCAUCAGAAAGCAAAACACUUCAAAUGUCACAUAUGUCAUAAAAAGUUGUACACGGGUCCAGGUCUUGCUAUUCACUGCAUGCAGGUUCAUAAGGAAACGAUAGAUGCUGUCCCAAAUGCAAUCCCCGGAAGAACAGAUAUUGAAUUAGAAAUCUAUGGAAUGGAAGGGAUUCCAGAAAAGGAUAUGGAGGAAAGGCGACGACUGCUUGAACAAAAGACUCAAGCGGAAAGUCAAAAAAAGAAGCAGAAAGAUGAUGAUUCUGACGAGUUUGAUGACGACGAUGCAGAAGCUGGGACUUCGUACCAGCAACAGGGGAUGCAGCAACAACAGAAUUUUGUUUCCAGUAUGAACCAGUCAAGCGUGCACCCUGUAACGGGUGCACCAGGAAUUCCUCCAGGGAUGCCACCAGUGGUCCCAGGUGUUCCUCCCAUGAUGCCAGGAAUGCCACCAGUAAUGCCAGGAAUGCCUCCAGGGAUGAUGCCCAUGGGUGGAAUGAUGCCUCCAGGACCUGGAAUGCCACCCAUGAUGCCAGGCAUGCAUCCUGGUGGGUAUUUGAAAACGGUUGGCAGCAAUUUAGGUAUGCCACCGCCUGUUCCACGUCCAGGUGGACCAUCAAUGACCCAAUCGCAGCCAGUGGUUCCACCUGGUAUACCCAGUAGAGCACCAUUACCUGGACCUAGUCCGCAGCCUCCCAUUGCAAAGCCGCUCUUCCCCAGUGCUGGCCAAAUGGGGACUCGUGUUUCGAGCACAACUACAACCUCCACUACAGCUUCAUCAAAUUCGGCAAAUCUCUCAACUUCCUCUAAACCUCUGUUUCCUAGUGCAGCACAAAGCCAGCAGUCUGUCUCCGGACCUGUGGGUACAGAUUUUAAACCCCUCAACAGUACGCCUGCCACUACCGCAGAACCUCCAAAGCCCACGUUCCCAGCAUACACACAGUCAACAGCAACUGCUACCAGCACAUCGAGCAGUUCUACAGCUAAGCCAACCAUCCCUGUAACUAGUAAGCCUGCCACUCUAACCACAACUAGUGCAACUAGUAAGUUGAUCCAUCCAGAUGAGGAUAUAUCACUGGAGGAAAGGAGAGCUCAGUUUCCAAAGUACCAACGUAACAUCCCUCGGCAAGGCCAGACACCUCUGGGGCCACCACCAGUUGGGCCGAUGGGUAGCAUGAUGCCACCACAGCAAGGAAUGCCACCUCAGCAACCAGCAAUGAGACCUCCUAUGCCACCUCCAGGACAGUCCUGCCACCCCCGGUUUCAGCCUCGUGAACGUCCGCUGCACUCCCUCUAUGGUCAGUAUGGUGGUCCGCCACAGGGCAUGCCAGGUUACCUCCCAGGCGGCAUGCCUCCAUAUGGACAGGGCCCUCCAAUGGUGCCCCCUUACCAGGGUGGACCCCCUCGGCCACCAAUGGGAAUGUCAGGAAUGAGGCCUCCUGUAAUGUCACAAGGUGGUCGCUACUGAAGCUGGCGUUAAUAGGUUUUUAGAAGUGAAGUAUAAUAAAUAUGGUCCAUUUAUAUAAUAAAAAAUUGAAGGCGCUGGAGUUACAUGAACGUACAGUACCACCUUUAAAGCCCUGCCAUGGGACAGGCUGAGGCUGAAUCUUAUUGUCCUCUCAGUCUGAGAAUGCUUGGGAAAACUUCCCAAAGACACUUGAAAAAUCAAGGAGUGAAAGGCAGAGAGGAACUUAAAACAAUCGCCAUCAACAGGGAACAGUUAACUAUAACAGCAGCGUUCCGUCACUUGCUUUUUAACGUGUAGGAAAGGAAAUGCCAAGAGCUCUGGCAGUACAGGUUAGUUUAAUCUGCACAUUUCUGUGGAAGAUCUUAACCUAUAAGUGGCAUCAAUUUGUGUGACAUCGCACAUGUGCAGUCAAGAGCAGUCUAAUCUUCUAGAAGUGUUAGAAGAUGCUGCCUGAUCUGCUGAGUUUCUCCAGUAUUGCGUGUUUAUCUUGGAUAUUAUUGCCCUUCUUGCUUCGUAAAAGUGAGUAGGAAGAUGAGGGUAGUCUGUGAACCUUCAUAUUUAAUCCAACCAGGUUUCACAAGGUAGGAGCAAAUUACUGCAGAUGCUGCAAUCUGUUCUGAAAACAACAAAUGCUGGAAAUCAUAGCGGGUCAGGCAGCAUCCAUAGAGAGACAAAAUAUUAGUUUGCUAAGUCUCAAUGACUGCAUCAGGGCACUGGGGCUUGGGUGAAGACUCAGCUAGACUCAACUUUAGUUUGCUCUCUCUCUGUGGAUGCUGUCUGACCCAUGGUGAGCUCCAGCAUUUUUUGUUUUCAGGUUUCAGAAGAUAUUUCCUUUGCAAGAUGAGGCAGCUGAUGGCAGUGAAUAUGCGAGUGUCGGAUGUACGGACUGCAAUACGUUCAUACUACACCUGUACCAGAUUGCUGAUUAAAUCAAAAACCUUCAAGCAA